UCCCUGGUGGCUCAGACAGUAGAGAAUCUGCCUACAAUGCAGGAGACCCAGGUUCGAUCCCUGGGUUGGGAA
rnacentral:tRNA from 1 species